rnacentral:rRNA from 1 species
GACGAACGCUGGCGGCGUGCUUAACACAUGCAAGUCGAACGAGAGCGUAGAGAAAGCUUGCUUUUUCUACAAUCUAGUGGCAAACGGGUGAGUAACGCGUAACCAACCUGCCUAAGGGAGGGGACCAAAAGCGGAAACCGCCGCUAAAAACCAAUAACUUCCCGAAGUUCGCUGGACUAUGGGAGGCAGGGUGGCCCUCAAUUAUUAACCUAUCCCCGAUGGGGGGGUUGGGUCCUGAUUAGCUAGUUGGGGGGGUAACGGCCCACCAAGGGGACGACCGGUAGCCGGUCUGAGGGGAUGAACGGCCACAUUGGAACUGAGACACGGUCCAGACUCCUACGGGAGGCAGCAGGGGGGAAUCUUCCGCAAUGGGCGAAAGCCUGACGGGGCAACGCCGCGUGAGUGAAGACGGCCUUCGGGUUGUAAAGCUCUGUUAUACGGGACGAAUAAUCUUGUGGUUAAUACCCAUGAGAAGUGACGGUACCGUAAGAGAAAGCCACGGCUAACUACGUG